rnacentral:lncRNA from 1 species
CUCAUUUUCAGUAUCUGUAAAAACAUUUCCCUUGUAGCAUAAUGCAAGCAUUAGAAAUAAUACAUCCACUCUCAUGAAUUAUCUCAUUAUUGACAAAAUAUAGAACCCAUAUGCUUAAUAUGCAGUAAAUGUUCACUUAAUAAAAAGCUAUUUCUAUUCAUUCUAAUAGCAGAAAAGAACUGAUAGUAUAAGACACAGUAUUCAUUUGAUUCCCAUGCUAUAAAUAUUUUCUAAAAUGCAUGUCCUCCUUUUGCCCUGCUAAUUUAAGGCAAUAGCCUAAAAUUUCUGCCAGGUUAAAAAUCUCAUUUCUACUGCUUGUUGUCUAUGUGACCUUGAACAAACCACAGCACCUCUCUCUGCCUCAAUUCUCUAAUCUAAAAAUAGGGACACAUAUUAUUUAUCUCCUAUUUCUUUUGCAAUUCCUGGGUGCCUUCAGCUAAGCAAGGCACUGUGCUGCUGAUACAAUUAAGGACUCAUUGUUUCUAACGUAAACAUUUCUCAAUAUUUUAUAAAAUGCUUGCGUUUGAAAAUUCCCAACUCAUUGCACACACAAAAAGUGAUUGGCCAUGAGACAAAUUUAGCUCAUGAUUUCCUUUUUUCUUCAUCUCCUUUCUUUUCAGUUGUCACCUCUAGCUUUCUCUGGCUUUGGGUAGCUGUUCUCUGACACUCCCUUCUCAUUGUGGUCCAGUCUUCAUUGGCUACAAUCAAAUGGUUUCCAUUGUGACCCUAGGAGAAAUUUCCCAUUGGAAUGACAAUUCCCAAGGCACCAUCACCUUGAUCAGCAAUAAUUUACGCACCGCAAUAAUAAUUAGAGCAGUAGUUUCACUAAUAAUAAAAACUAACAUUUAUUGAAUAUUUAUUAGGCGUAGGAAACAUACUAAAUAAUUUAUCCGCAUUAUCUUAUUUAAUCCUAAUAGCAAACCUAUGAGCGGUAGACUUCAUUGUCAUAAAUGAAGAAGCAGGACUCAGAAAGGUGAAGUAACCUUCUCAAGGGCACACAGCUAGAAUACGGUAGAGUUGGAA